rnacentral:rRNA from 1 species
UACGGGGGGGGCAAGCGUUGUUCGGAAUUAUUGGGCGUAAAGAGCUCGUAGGCGGUUUGUUGCGUCGGCUGUGAAAUCCCGAGGCUCAACCUCGGGUCUGCAGUCGAUACGAGCAAACUAGAGUGUUGCAGGGGAGACUGGAAUUCCUGGUGUAGCGGUGAAAUGCGCAGAUAUCAGGAAGAACACCGGUGGCGAAGGCGGCUCUCUGGGCCUUACCUGACGCUGAGGAGCGAAAGCGUGGGUAGCGAACAGG